rnacentral:rRNA from 1 species
UACGUAGGGUGCGAGCGUUGUCCGGAAUUAUUGGGCGUAAAGAGCUCGUAGGCGGUCUGUCGCGUCUGGUGUGAAAUCCAGGGCUUAACCCUGGACCUGCAUCGGGUACGGGCAGACUAGAGUGGCGGUAGGGGAGAUCGGAAUUCCUGGUGUAGCGGUGAAAUGCGCAGAUAUCAGGAGGAACACCGGUGGCGAAGGCGGAUCUCUGGGCCGUAACUGACGCUGAGGAGCGAAAGCAUGGGGAGCGAACAGG